UACCUGGUUUAAUCUUGCCAUAAUCAAAUUCUUUGCUCAAAGAUUAAGCCAUUCAUUUUUAAGGAUAAGCAAAUAUUCCGCGAAACUGCGAAUGGCUCAAUAUAUAAGUUAUCGUUUAUUUGAUAGCACAUUACUACAUGGCUAACUGUCGUAAUUCUAGAGCUAAUACAUGCUAAAAAUCCCGACUUCGGAAGCGAUGUCUUUAUUAGAUUAAAAGCCAACGCCCUUCGGGGCUUCCUGCUGAUUCAUAAUAACUGUUCGAUUCGAAUGGGCAUUCGCCGGCGAUGGGUCAUUCUAAUUUAUUCUCUAUCACCAUUCCAUCCGCAGUUAUUGUCUUCGCAUGCAUGCCACCGGUAACGAAGGGGUCUGGUUCGAACCCGGAGCAGCGACCUGAGACACGGGUACUACCUCCAACGAAGGAAUCCUGCCUCCAACUUAACCCAUCACGUCACGGGUGGGUAGCGACAAGAAACUCUUAUACCACGC
rnacentral:rRNA from 1 species